rnacentral:lncRNA from 1 species
GAUUUUAAGAAAUGAUUUUCAAACACUAAUCAACUACAAAAGUACUGAAACUUUUUAGGGCAUUUUAAUUGUAGAAAUAGAUACAAAUGUUAAAUACAGAAAUAACAAGUGAAAUUAAAUAAAUAAUCUAAAGUAAAUAUCGCUUGUUUUUAAGAAUGAAAGUCGCCAGAUGUCUCGCUCAUACAGCUUGGCACGAACAGAACGGAACCUGGCAGAACACAUUGAGAGGAAAAUCAGCGGCUUUCCGGAAGAGCAGAGGGACUAUCCAGCGUAUUCCCCAUAUCAGUAUGAAUAUGAGGGGAGGGGCAGUAACUGCCAGUCACUGGAUAAGCUGACAGUCAGCAACCUCGGUGAUAACCUGGACUUCCUGCACAACCUCGGGCCAAAGUUCAGCAAUCUGGGUGGGAUCUGUCAACAGUCAAUGGAGAGCAGGAACGUCCGGCUGUGAAAGUGGGUGAUGAUUUGAGGCUUUAUAUUGCUCCACAUUUCUACAAUGCUUGUUCAGCUGAGCUGCAAAGGGGUUCCAGGGAUUUUUUUUUUUUUGUGCUGUGACUUUUAUUUUUUGGAGACAGUGCUCUAGGCCAUUCUUGAAUUUGAGCACCAUGAUACCUGUACAGGCACAGGAUGAUUAUGGAUAUAAGAUGUGAACAUUACAUCUUCAGUGCCAAGGCUGCCUGCCCUCAAGGAACUAUGGGAUACACUGUGCAUUUGUGCUCACGGUGGAUGUGUAAAAAAGCUUGUUGGGUGAAAUGAAAACUUGUGUCUGCAUCCCACCAGCUUGUCUGAAAUGAGGCGGUUGGUGGCUUGGACUGUUGUGGUUUUGGCUGUGACCAGUUUGAUGGCCUGACAGGCCGCCGUUCUGUUCGAAACCAUUUUUUUUUUAUUCUGCAAACACAAAGCCACACAUCACAACCACUUAUUUAUGCAGAUAUUGUUUGUCUGGGGUUCUCCUGCACUUGCUGCCUUUAGCUAUCAUAUUUGUUUUGUGCACUUUGACUUUGCACUGCAGAAUCACUUGUGUAUUUAAAGUGACAGUCCAGCCAAAAAUGACAAUUCUAUCAUUUAUUAAUCUUCAAAUCAAUCCAAACCUAUACAGAAGCUUAUGCCCACCACGGAUUAAAAUAUAUUGCAACUGAUUCCUCAGCAUUGAAAGUGUGUAUCUCACAAUUCUGACUUUUUUCUCCAAAUUCUGAUUUUACAUCUUGGAAUUCUGGUAUUCCUCUCAGAACUUUUUGUUUUGUUUUGUUUUUAGACACCUGAACACAUGCUCAUGCUGAAUUCUGAGAAACUCACAUUUUUGAGAAAAAAAUGUUGGAAUUGCAAGAUUAAAAAAAAAAAGCAAUGACAAUUAUACAUAUCUAUUCUGUGGCUGAAAUAGGUUUCCAUACAAACCACUUUCUUCUGUACAGGAACAUGAAUAAAUGCUAUGGAGGAAGUUGGAAAACUGAAAGCAUUGAUUUCCAACAAACCCAUUGAUUGGACAAAACAAAAUAUUUAUUUUAUAUUUCAUAUUUCAUAGAAGAAAGAAAAUCAUAAAAAUUUUGAAUAAUGUGAGGGUGAGUAAAUAAUGACUGAAUAUUCAUUUUUGAGUGACUGAGCAUGAAAAACUGCAAAAGUGAUUAAAGAUGCAAAAGAACAAGCAGAAGCUAUUUCGCAGAGCAAUAAGGAUAGAAAAUGAAAGUAAAGAUCAGUCAUCAUUCAACAGUAUCUGAGAGUCUGGCAGGUGGCAGUAAUGCACCGUUGAUCAUCAUUACAUCCCUGGAAAAAACCCAGGUGAAGAAAGGCCCUUUAAGUAAAUAGGGAUAUUUACUUGAAGGGCCUUUCUUUUCUCCUGUUUUUUUCCACUAAGCAAUGACAAUUAUACAUAUCUAUUCUGUGGCUGAAAUAGGUUUCCAUACAAACCACUUUCUUCUGUACAGGAACAUGAAUAAAUGCUAUGGAGGAAGUUGGAAAACUGAAAGCAUUGAUUUCCAACAAACCCAUUGAUUGGACAAAACAAAAUAUUUAUUUUAUAUUUCAUAUUUCAUAGAAGAAAGAAAAUCAUAAAAAUUUUGAAUAAUGUGAGGGUGAGUAAAUAAUGACUGAAUAUUCAUUUUUGAGUGACUGAGCAUGAAAAACUGCAAAAGUGAUUAAAGAUGCAAAAGAACAAGCAGAAGCUAUUUCGCAGAGCAAUAAGGAUAGAAAAUGAAAGUAAAGAUCAGUCAUCAUUCAACAGUAUCUGAGAGUCUGGCAGGUGGCAGUAAUGCACCGUUGAUCAUCAUUACAUCCCUGGAAAAAACCCAGGUGAAGAAAGGCCCUUUAAGUAAAUAGGGAUAUUUACUUGAAGGGCCUUUCUUUUCUCCUGUUUUUUUCCACUAUAGGAAAGUUGAAUGAAGAAUGGCUGGAAUUCAUUUUUAUCAUGUUACAUUUACAUUACACACAAUGUAGUGUUCAUUUGUUUCUUUCAUAUUUCUCAUUGUAUUGUAAAUCAUUUUUAUUUGUUUCACCCAAUGGUUUUAAGGAUUGAUGAUAUAUUUUUAAUUUAGUCAUCUUGAUGGUUUGGGUGUAGGGUGCUCAGGGCCCGAGGCGUUGUCUGCAAUGUUGACUUUCUCUUUGAGGAACAAUCUCUCUAAAAAUGUAUGUGUAACAUGAUCUGAUUUUUGAUAACACUUUACAAAAAUAUUCAAUAAGGUAACAUUAGUUAAUGCAUUAUCACAACAAUUUUUACAGUAUUUAUUUAUCUAGUUUAAUGUUAAGUCACAAAAACGUUAAUAUAACUGUUUAGUAUGAAUUUAUGUAUCUUAAAUGCUAAAACUGUAUCAGUACAUGUAGACUAGAUGAAUAAAUGCUGUAAAGGCAUUGCUAGUGUAUAGUUCAUGUUAGCUAACUGUAUUGAACGCUAUUGUAAAGUGUUAAUGAACAGCAUGUCAUAAAGUACAGGAAUCUGAAUUAAAAUUGUAAUGAUGCUGAAUAAAUGAUGCCGCUUUCUGAGAACUGAAUGUUGUUGCUGUGUUUAGUUAUUUGUCAUGUCUUGUGUUGGUCAUUCAAAACUAAAUAUUGUACGUACAGGGUAUAUUUUGUCAACAUUGGCUUGUGAGAUAAAUGUUAGGUUAGAACUGGAUCGAUAAUCAUAAUGAUUAAAUAAUGAAAGCAUGUUGUGGCACACCUCCAAGCCCUUCAGGUCAGAUAUAGUGAAUUAUGAAUGUACUAUGGACUCCCGACAUGCAUGACACAGGCGACCCCCAUAUCACCUAUGAACUUUUUUGUUAGCUGAACCCCUUUGGCAUAAAAUAUGUAGAGGACAUACCCCCUGAGAUCUUAAUUUAAUAUUCAAUAUUCAUGGUUCCCUUUCAGUCAGUCACUCUUGACAUCUCGUCGGUAAUGACCGACGAACUGGGUCUCGCUUAGAGAGACCAAUCCACUUUGAGUGUAAACUAAAAGAGCCAAUGCACAUUGGCAUGCAAUGAUUGAAUCCAGCUGCCGCUGAUCGCAGCGUGAAUAUACAGUAAUUAGGCAGCAGGUGCA